UUUACCACUUCAAACCGGAAAGGUGUUGCAACAUAACAGUUUUAAUUGCUAAACCCUAGCUGCAAACCCAAAUCUCUGGAUUUAAUAAGAAUUGGGUGUGAAAGACUGUGAACAGUGGCAGUUUUCUGCCAGGUUUACCUUCUUUCCUGCUCUUGGUUGAGAUUUGCGGACCUUUGUAUCCACUGUGGUCUCCUUGGAACAAGCAACUGGAAAUUCUUCACACCAGCUAUGGCUGGUAGGAAUUUCGGGCCACAACUCAGAGUCAUAAUGGUGAAGAGGAUGGUGACAUCCAAGGACAACCACAGGGCCUCUCUCCUGACACUGGUGAGAACCAGAUUCCUUUCCCUGGUUCUGUAGCUCCCAGCAGAGUUUUGGAAGCUGAUUAAAGAGAAUGUUGGAAAUAACAGGCAAUUAGAAACCUUAUUAAAAAAAGGAAAAACACUCUCAUCAAACUUGCCAAAGCGUCUUAAUGGCUGGAUGUGGAGGAGGCAUUGGAAACUGCUG
rnacentral:lncRNA from 1 species